rnacentral:rRNA from 1 species
GACGAACGCUGGCGGCGUGCUUAACACAUGCAAGUCGAACGGAAAGGCCCUGCUUUUGUGGGGUGCUCGAGUGGCGAACGGGUGAGUAACACGUGAGUAACCUGCCCUUGACUUUGGGAUAACUUCAGGAAACUGGGGCUAAUACCGGAUAGGAGCUCCUGCUGCAUGGUGGGGGUUGGAAAGUUUCGGCGGUUGGGGAUGGACUCGCGGCUUAUCAGCUUGGUGGUGGGGUAGUGGCUUACCAAGGCUUUGACGGGUAGCCGGCCUGAGAGACGGACCGGCCACGUUGGGACUGAGCUACGACCCAGACUCCAACGGGAGGCAGCAGUGGGGAAUAUUGCACAAUGGGCGGAAGCCUGAUGCAGCAACGCCGCGUGCGGGAUGACGGCCUUCGGGUUGUAAACCGCUUUCGCCUGUGACGAAGCGUGAGUGACGGUAAUGGGUAAAGAAGCACCGGCUAACUACGUG